ensembl:lncRNA
CUGGAGAUCCCUGUCUACUUGAGGUCUUCUAAAGGAAAGAAGUUAAAAUUUUGAAAUACUUCAGUGAUGUGAUCAGCAGACAGUAGUGGGAAAGUAUUUCUCCUAAACUUGACUGGUGAUCAAAAUAAGGAAGGAAGAUCUGAAAGAGCAGAAAAUAUUUUUGUUAAUCAGGAUAUGGCACUUUCCAACAUCUGGAUGUCAAAACACUUGCUUUGAAUUCAAUACUAUUAACAUGUGUAAUUUAAAUGAAUUUUUUUCUCCAGAGCCAAUUGGGUGGCUACGAUUCUUGGCAAGGUUUUUGCAGUUUGUUGCUUACAUUACCUGACCCGUGGUCUGUUUGUCUUACGAUCUCUGUGGGAAAAAAACAGCAAGAGACAUCAACCCCCACCCUGCCUACCCGAAAAAAGCAAUGCCACAAAGCUCUGAAAAUAGAUCAGAACCCAGAAACAAAGUUCUAGGAUGAAGUCUCAUCCUUCCACUGAACCAUUUUGACCAGAAGGUAACCUCAUGGGAUUUCUGCUGCUUUUGCCUGUGACAUCAUGUAACAUCAAAUGAGAAAGCAUCUGAUUCUUCUGAAUAUCAAUGAGACAUGAUUAAACUGAAUACAACAGCUUGGGAAUCCAGGAAAAAAAAAGUUUGAAUAAAAGGUCAGAGAAAGAUCAGGCAUCAGCUCUGGCUCUUCGCAAAAUGAUAAAACUAACAGGGAAUGACUCAGCUAGCCCUGAUGAAAAAGCUCCUUUCUUUGCAGUGUAAACAACACAGUCUGUGUUCUUGAAAUCCCAGACUGAAACAUCAACCAGCACUGGAAAAUACGAUACCCCAGAAUGCCUUCCCUGUCCUGGGCAUAGCCUGUCACCAGUAUUUCAGGGGAUCUUAUUCACUGCGACUGGGACUAACUACUCAGAAGAGACUUCUGCAUGAGUAAAAGGGAAAAAAGCUUGUGUGUGGACUGACCUCAAGAGUGUGAAGCAAAUAUUUUGUUUCAAAUCAACUUUUGACCCAUUUCUGAAGUAAAUUGAGUGACCAGUAAUUGAAACCAGCAAAAAAAAAAAAAAAAAGAGAAAAAGAAAAAGGAGAUGUUGAAAACCAUUUGAAUAAGUACUGCACUAAUGGACCAAUGGUAUUUUCCAUUCAACAAGUAGCAGAGCUGCAAGAGGAGAAGGAAUACGAAGUGCUGGGGCAAAGGAAGUACAGCCAUCUCCUCCCUGCUGCAUUGGAUGUGGAGCAAAGAAGCCACCUCGUACUGAAUGACCGUGCAAGGCCGAGCUACAGUGGAAAUGGUAAAAACAGGCAGUGUGAAGGAAGAAAGGGAACUUUCCUAGCGUUCACUGGUCAUUCACAUGAGCUGCAUGGGCAGGAUGAUAUCACUCAGUUGCCAAGAACAGAAAGCCAGUAGUAGAAAAUGAACAGUUAUGAAAUGAAAGGAGUCCUACAGCUGCUAGAAGAGAGAAACUGGCUUCCUUUUGUGCUCUGACCUUUCUUUGUAUCAUACUUUCAACCGUAGUGCCUUACAGACAAGAUGGCACCAACUAAACCUAAAAAAAAUGACUAACUGCCAAGAUAAUUCAAAGAAUAAUGAAGUUACAACAGCAGCAAAGAUGCAAAGAAAACUGAUGUGUUAUCUCUUCCUGGAGCUCACCACAAAAGAAUAAAAUGCUUCAUCUUUAAAAUGAAUGGGUCUAAAAUUUGUGAUCGCAGCUCUGCUUAUCAGGACGUGCUGAUGGAUUGGAUUAUGUGGCAGUCACAUGGAGGAGCCUUUGCUCAUGUUUGAUUUUAUAAAAUUCGUUCUUUUCUGUGACACUUUCAUACUUUGGGGAAACUUGUUUGUUGAUAAGUACUUGAAUUAACCUUUUAAAUAGAAGGAAUGUCUGCAAUAAGUUCAGCUUUCUAUUAAGACAAAUCCUGG